rnacentral:rRNA from 1 species
UACGUAGGUGGCAAGCGUUGCCCCGGAUUUACUGGGCGUAAAGAGCGCGCAGGCGGUCGUUCAAGUCGCGUGUGAAAGCCCCCGGCUCAACUGGGGAGGGUCACGCGAUACUGAUCGACUGGAAGGCAGGAGAGGGUAGUGGAAUUCCCGGUGUAGUGGUGAAAUGCGUAGAUAUUGGGAGGAACACCAGUGGCGAAGGCGACUACCUGGCCUGUUCUUGACGCUGAGGCGCGAAAGCGUGGGGAG